AUAAAUCUGGAGCUAUUAGAUGC
rnacentral:siRNA from 1 species